rnacentral:rRNA from 1 species
AGCGAACGCUGGCGGCAGGCCUAACACAUGCAAGUCGAACGGACCCUUCGGGGUUAGUGGCGGACGGGUGAGUAACACGUGGGAACGUGCCUUUAGGUUCGGAAUAGCUCCUGGAAACGGGUGGUAAUGCCGAAUGUGCCCUUCGGGGGAAAGAUUUAUCGCCUUUAGAGCGGCCCGCGUCUGAUUAGCUAGUUGGUAAGGUAAUGGCUUACCAAGGCGACGAUCAGUAGCUGGUCUGAGAGGAUGAUCAGCCACACUGGGACUGAGACACGGCCCAGACUCCUACGGGAGGCAGCAGUGGGGAAUCUUGCGCAAUGGGCGAAAGCCUGACGCAGCCAUGCCGCGUGAAUGAUGAAGGUCUUAGGAUUGUAAAAUUCUUUCACCGGGGACGAUAAUGACGGUACCCGGAGAAGAAGCCCCGGCUAACUUCGUGCCAGCCGCCGCCGUAA